AGCAGCCGCGGUAAAUUCCAGCUCCAAUAGCGUAUAUUAAAGUUGUUGCAGUUAAAAAGCUCGUAGUUGAAUUUUGGGUUUGGCCAAUUGGUCCGUUCUUGUAACGAGUACUGGUUGGUUGGGCCUCACCGCCUGGUGAUGCGUAAUGUCCUUUAUUGGGUGUUGCGAAUAGCCAGGACUUUUACCUUGAAAAAAUUAGAGUGUUUAAAGCAGGCUUAUGCCGGAAUACAUUAGCAUGGAAUAAUAGAAUAGGACGAUGAUUCUAUUUUGUUGGUUUCUAGGACCAUCGUAAUGAUUAAUAGGGAUAGUUGGGGGCAUUAGUAUUCAAUUGUCAGAGGUGAAAUUCUUGGAUUUAUUGAAGACUAACUACUGCGAAAGCAUUUGUCAAGGAUGUUUU
rnacentral:rRNA from 1 species